rnacentral:lncRNA from 1 species
CUCUUCAUUGCAUAAUUAUUAUUAUAUCGUUUUAGUUCUUCAAUGUAAAGGUAAACAAAUAAUCAUCCCUGUAAAACCCAAGUAUUAUUUAUUUUUUGCGUUAUUAGUCACAUUUAAUUCUUUCCCUCACCAACCCAUUUAUAUAAAUGAAACACACAAGUGUAGGUCAAGAGAGCACAUUACACACUUAUAAAUUAAAUAGCGAGAAAGAGGGAGCUUGGAAUUAUUAAUUAUAAACAAAUAACUUCUCAUCAUCAAUAUUCUUUUUUCUUUUUUUUUUUUUUGCCUAUCUCUUUUUAAAUGAUCUCCAUGAGGAAAACACAUACAAUCAAAUCAAUGAAAGCAACUAAAGCGUUAAGGGUAUCUCCACCCACCACAUUAAUCCCUGUAUUGUAAAAAUUAAAUAUUACAAAUAAUAAUAAUUCACAAAUACAAAAAAUAAUAAUAAUAAAGAAAGUAAAAAUAAAGACUGUAAAACAAAAUAAUACAAGGGAAAAAAAAACAAGUAGGUGAUAUACAUGCGCAUAUAGAGGAAAAAGAAAGAAUAACAAAUCAUGUUUUGCAUUUUACAAGACUUUUACGUACACAAAAUAUUAACAUUAUUACUUCACUUUCACUUGAUGAAUAUGAAAUAUAUAUCUAUGUAUAUAUGGAUAUGAAUUUGUCUUGUCAGUUGAUGCAUGUUCUCAAGGCUUUGGUGGCUCUGCAGCAGCUGGUUGGUCCUCCUUGGCGGCGGCAGGAAGAGGCUCAGUUGGGGCUGGGGCGGCGGCGGCUUCUGCCGGCUCAGUUUUCUCAGGGCCGGCGGGGGCCUCUUCUUUCUUCUCUUCCUCAACAACUACGUCGUCCUUCUCUGUGACUGCGGCGGUACUACUACUUGUUGUCUCUUGUUCUGGUUUUGUUUCUUCUCCUGCUGCCGCGGUUGCUGGCUCUGCUGCUUUUUCUUCAGUAACAAUAAACGUUGAGACCUUCUCAAAUAUGAAGAAAACUGGCCCCGGAACAGAGGCUGCCCCAAACUUUGACGAUGCUUCACUUACUGCUUUUGAUCCUGGAAACUCUGUAUAUACACACAUACAUAUAUAUUAAUAAAAAUCUCAUGUGAUUUAACACAUGACCUUAACUUUAAUUAAUAAUACCAUAUGUGAUAGAACUAUUUUACCGAUUUUAACGAGUUCUUCAAGUAACUUGUGCACAGCAGUGGAGUGCUUCUUAAGUCCAUCCUCCUUGCGAUCCUUGACCAGGGUCUGUAUUUUCAUUUAAACGCCAAAGCCAAAGCCAAAAAGAAAAAGGUUAAAUUAAUAAAUAAAAACUUGCAUGAAUUGGAUCUUUUUAAUUCUCUCUGACUUUUGUAGCUAUAACAGAUUUGGUAUGUUCAUUCAUGUAGAGACCUUGAUUUCAGCUGAAGAAGCUUCAUAGAUUUCGACCACUUUAGGUUGGAGCUCAGGCUUCUUCUCUUCAAACUCUUUUUUGAUUUGUUCCUACAAAACGAGCAUAUAUAGCAAGCUCAACAUAAUUGUUAAUUAAACAACAAGCAAAAUAAAAAAAAUAAAAAAAUUAUACAUAUGUACAUAUACAUAAAGACAACCUUUGAAUCAUCAAAGGACUUGCAAGCCUCAGCAGCAGCAGCUUUCUUGGUUCCGUUUUUCUCGAAAACUUUCUUGAUCCUUGGGAGGACCUUGGAUUUCCAGUACCCCAUCUUUCUUCUUUUUUCCAAUCAAAUGAGUCCCUCUGAAAGAAAAAUCUAAUCAACAAGCAAACAGCUAAAUAAAAUUUGUGGGGACCAAAUCAAAUUAAUAAAAAUUGAAAUAAUUAAAAAGAGAGAAACCUGAGUUGAGUUGGUGGCUUGGUGCAGCAAGCAGAAGUUUGCUAAAAGAAUCUGAAUAGCUAUGCACUCACUUCUUUUAACUCUCCUUCCUCUGGCUGUCUGUCUCUCCAAGGCUUCAAUAAAAGUCUACCUCAAUGCAACUGUUUUGAGCCAACCGUGUGUCCCUCCUAAUUUUAUGACCGUGGCAUCAUCGUAUACACAUUCAAUACCCAUUUUCUUUUUUCUUUUUUCUUUUUUUUAUUAAAAAAACCCUUUUGUUUCCUAAUUAUUUUCCAAAUAUACCCUUUUGAGUUUUAUAUAUCCAAUUUUAUGCCCGCCUUGCAAAUUUUUCUUUUUUUUUAGACACUCCCUCUCACUUUUAAAUUAGAGAAUUUUACGCAUAACUUUUUUGUUUAAAAAAAUUCUCAUGUUCGCCAACUCCCCCAUCAAUUUAUUUGUUAUACUUGAUUUGACAAUGAUUUCGAACAAUUAAGUGAUUAUUCAGUAAUUUUUUUUUAAAACAAGUUUAAAAAGAAAAAGAAACGUAUUCAAUUUGGUGUUUAAUGUAUUUUGGAAACUUUUUUUUUUGAAGUAUUAUUUUAAAAAAUAAUUUUCAUAAAAAAAACCCAUUAUUAAAAACAAUAUUAUUAAUGCCCCCGAUAGGCUUGAAAUAAGUGUAAAAUUCCAGGGGUAAAAUGGGGAGUGUGGAGAGCUGGCAAUCACUUCAAUCAAAGGUGGCAGAAUUAUCAUAAAGUGGGGCCAGUUCCAAUAGGUUUCUAAUACUGAUGUUGAUCUGUUCUCACAUGGCUUCGCUGGAGCAAUUUUCACAAUCAAAGCCGUCAAUUGACUAAUAAUUCUAUUUUCAAUUUUUUAAAAUAAUAAAAUAUUCCCCUAUGUUAUCCUAAAUUUUGAAAAUUCUAUUACAUGCUAGAACGUAGUUGCCAAAUUUUCGAUCUUUUCAAUAGCUUAUGCACUUGAAAAAAAUAAUAAUUGUUUGAGGGAAAUAUUUCGACGAGACCAGACGUGAUGAGCAGAUAUUGAGUAGUAGAGUUCUGGGAACAGGUGUGUUCUGUAAGAGCCUGGUAGCAGAGGAGCAGCAGCAAGAAUAUUCUGCUCGUCCACGAAUAUGCCAUUCAUGAGGAUGAACUCCUGUUAGAGGCAUAAGACCAUUCCUGCUAGGAGUCGAGGCGAGGAGACCCGGUCAACGACAGUUGGCAAGACGUACAUUCCUAUUCGAGAAUCAAGGCACGAAGUCCAUCUCCAUUCGCCCACAAUGACUACAAUGGGGCAUCCACAUCCGAGGGUGGGGAGAAUAAUGGGCGUGGACUACGGAAGACCGGGAUUCAGAGGAAGCCUAUAAAAAGGUAGCCAGCGAAGGUAAAAGGGUUAGACUUUUUGCUAUUAGAACUAAGAAAAGAAAGUUCCGAGAAUUGAGAUUAAAAAGAAGCCAUAAGAUUCGUGGCAAACAUUCCCAGGACCCCUAUUUCUGACUUGAGCAUCGGAGGGUUUGCGCCGGGAAAACAACCGGCGUACUCUGACUUGUCUGUGUGCGCAGGAACCUCUGGAGAAGAAGCUUUACGAGGAGAGAUCCUGGUCGUGGUGAAGUUGAUCGAGCAGAGACCCUGGUCGUAGAACGAGGACAACCAGAAUCUCGCAUCAACAAUAAUAAUAAUCAUAAGAGAAGCAGAAAAAAAAAAAUCCUAAGUAGUAUCCUUAGAUUGAGAUAAAAUUUCUGGUCCUACAUACACGACAUAAGACGCUCUUAACAUUUUUCAUAAUAUUCAUGCAACAAGAUAUCAUAUCGCUAGCUUGCAUGCACGUGGAGUGCUUAAUAAGUAUUUUGAAUUUAAGCAAAAACAGAGUAAGAAGACAAUAAAAAUGGAUUAAUGACUAUUUAUCAAAUCAAAAUAAAAAUUAUUCAUUUGGGUAUCUUGAGUUAACAAAGUUUGGACUAUUAUCGGGUUUGGUUUUUUGGUUAUUUUUUUUUUUUUUGGUUUUGACCACGAGGUAUCCUGGGGAGGGCCCCAACUGUGGGAGGCACCUUUAAGCCCGUACCACAACCCAGACUAUAAGUCCCCGCUCGAACCGAGAGGCACAUGUUCUCCCAACAAAGGCGACUUCCCUGCGACUCGAACUGGGGAGCAAACUCAGUCAAACCACACAAGGAGACUUCAUUGCCAGUGGAACCAACACUUUGUUGGUGUUUUUGGGUUAUUAUAUUACUUGCUUGUUGACGAUACCUUCAAUUAUGAUCGACAAUAACGCAUGGUUUUUAUAAAUUGGAAACGUAUGUGCUUCUUCUUCCUUUUUUUUUUUUUCUUCUGUGAAUGCAUAUGGAAUUUUAUUAAAAAAAAAAAAAGGAAAAAGAAACAAGACUACAGAUUUGUCGCGAUAUUUGAGAAGAUCCAAGAAUCUUCAUGCAGAUUUUUGUGUGGGGAAAAAAAAAAAAUUGUUAACACAUCCCAUUAACUAUAGCAGGAGCAAGUGAUGCCCAUGUAUCGUGUUUGUUGUAUGAUAAAUUCUUCAGGUGUUAACAGUGAAAAGACAAAAAAAUUUAAUUGUAUUGGAAGAAUGGGUGUCGACUGUCGACAUUAAUUCUGGCUACUUGGUCGAUUUUAUGACCAUGACCGUUUAUAUAUUUUUAUGAGCUUCUUAUCUGGCAAGUGAUGAAUUUCUUUCUUCUGUUCUUCUUUGGUGGGAAAGUUGAAUUUAAUGGUUACGAAACCUAGAAGAAAUAAUAACUACAAAAAAAAAAAAAAAAAAAAACCCUGCUUUCAAAGAUGCCUCAUUAUCCACAACCAAAGAUAUAUAUAUAUAAUUGGUGAAUUCGAAUUGUUUGUGUUGACUCAAAUUAUUAUUGAUCACAUGCUUUCCUUCAACACAUGCCUUCUAGAUAUUUCUUGAUAUUGGCUUUAAGAUACUAAAUCAAAACUCAUUAGAUGAGAAAGCAUAAUCCAAAACCUUGACAAUCUUUUUGAGAAUCUUGUAUUGAUAUUUUUGUUUUUUUUUCUUUUCUCUCUCACCAUCUCUCUUUUAAAUGGGGAGUAAAGUUGAGAUUAUUUGAACCUAUCAAUUUUCUCUUUACAUCAUAUUUUUAAUUAAGAAUUUUAUUAUCAAAAUAAUUCUAACAUAAUUACUUAUAAUUAACCCUUUCUUCUCUUUUCAUUCUUAAAUCUUCAAUUCUCAUUAAUUUAUUUACGUAUUUUAUUUUAUGGGUAAAUAAUUGGUUUUGUUAUCAUAAAGUAAAAUCCAUCGACAAACUUUUACCAACCAUGAAAUAGAGAUUAUGAUUUAAUAAAAAAGGUAAAAAAAAAGUUCAAAAGACAGUGAAUUUGAAAGUUUAGUUUGUAAAAUGUGAGGAUAGAGAGAAACUUUGCAAUUGUGAGGAGAGAGAGAAAGAGAUCAGUGAAAGGUGAAUUUGAGAUUUUUAAAUUUUAAAUCAUAAAUAAUAAAUGUAUUUUCUAAAAUGAGUUAAGAGAUAAAUUUGGUGAGUUCAAAUAGUUCUACUUAUUUUGUAAACGGGAAAAAAUAAAAAUUAUUAUUUAACCUUAAGAAAGCUUUUAAUUAAUUUGUUGGAGAUCAUAAAUUUCAUAAAAUGACAAUUUUUAAAAUACAUAAAAGAAAUUGUACUUAUUUUCCCAUGUAUGAAAUAAUAUUAGAAGUCUUGACUGAUAAAGGAAUUAAUAGAGUAGAAGAUAUUUAUAAUAGGAUAUCAGGUAUUAGACAACACCUUCUUUGAUUCAGUCAUUUAGGUUCACAAUGUCAAGUAUUAAAUUAACAACAGUACUUAUUAUAUUUAAAUAAAUUUUACAGUAUCGAGUAUUAAAUUAACAUUAAGAUUUAAAAUUAGCACUCUAUUAAAUCUUAUUUUUAACUAAAACAAUUACGACAAGAUUCUACAAUGGAUAUUUCAAAAUUGAGUUGCCAAUCUUGACAAUAUUCACUUUGCUUUAAAAUAAAGGCAUUUAUGGAUUAACAAAUAAAAAAAUUAUAAAAAUUAUAUAAAAAAAAAACUGUGGGCUAUGGCCUAGUUCCAAAUCAAAGUGCAUAUUUUAAUAAAAUUAUUUAAUAUCCAAAAUGUUUCAAUUACUUUCUUUCUCAUCUUUUUAUAUUUUAAUGCAUGUGUCAUUAGAAUAAUGUCCUUCCUAUAUGUACUAAUUUAUAAUAAAUAUGACAGAAAAAAAAUGUAAGCAAUUAUUAUUAAAAGAAAAAAGGAAAAUUAUUUUUGUAAUAGAAGUAGAUUAAUGAAUCUUCAUAUUGUGCAGAUUCACUUGCACAUAGGUAGUAUGAAAAUUAUGUACAUAGGAAAGAAGAACAUUUUGUUUUUUGGACUAUUCUGAACUUGAAAAUUAGGCAAAGUGGAGUUGGUACGAGCAAUUAGAAGGAAAAUUAAAAUUAGGGCAAGUUGAGAGGAUGAGGAUAGAGGUGACAACACAUGAAAUGGUGCAAGAUUACAAGUAGUCCAUUUCAAAAUUGCAUAAUUAAACAAGAAAAUGAACAUGACGUAGCAUUGCGUUUGAGUGCAAAACUCAAUUGAUAAUGAUAAGGACUCAUUCUCCCAUUGAAAAUGAAAGUGUAAUUAAUUUUAUAGCUUUCUCUAACCUUAUUUGCCUAUUCUAGUCCAACUUUAAUACGUUAACUUUUCUAACCUAAGCAUUUCAUUUGAUUUUGACAUUCCAUUUCUUUUUCUUAUUCAACUGAUCGUGCAUAUAAAAAUGAAUAGCGAUCGAGAGAUAAAAAUGCUACACGUAACAAAUUGUCCUAGUUUUGACAGAUAAAUUAGAGGCUUGUUUGUUCGAGUCUCUUGACCUAAUUGCCUGCCCUAUGUUAUUGUUCCCACUAAACUCUUUUGAGUUAAUAGAACUUUCAAAAGAUUAUUUCACAGAAUAUAAAAUUUGAGUACUUAAAUAUAAUCUUAAUCCUUUUCUGUUCGUGAAAUUUACCUGACAAAUUUUAAUAUCUGCUGUUGUAUUAGUUUGCUAAUUGAUUUUUUAGCUCAGAAGCCUGAAGGGUAGGCCCAAGUCCCCACAUAAUUUACUGGGCUCACCCGGUACCCGAACCAAGCCCACCCAUUUGUUUUUCUUUUUCAAAUCACUUUAUUAAUCAAUUGGCAUACCUGACCCGUGGCCUCACCCUGGAUACGAUCAACAAGAAAAUGUUUACGAUGCGGUUGGUGAGGCAAAUCCAACUAAUGAAUUGACAUCCUGUCUACGUACUGAAUAGACAAUAAUGGAUCAUUUUUCAAGUUACAUGUGCCAAAAUCUGAACAAACAUUUCUCAAAACUGCUUUACAAAUAAUAAUAAUAAUAACAAUGAUAAAUUGGAUGAAACUUGCACUGCAGCUCAUUCGUGGCUGAAAGUAGUAGCAUGUAGCAACUGGCAAAAGGUUUGCAUACACCGACAAGAAAAUAAGUUGUUCAAAACGAUUGUCACAAUUCAGAGAUAGGAACAGACCCACAUGAAGCGUGCCAUUGAUAAGCUUGGAAGCAAAUGCCAUUGCCAGAUCAGGGCCAGACAGCAAGCUCAUUAAUCUAAGCAUAUUUGAUUUUUGUUCUAUGUAACAACUAACAACACAAAGGAUUGGUAAGAAAUAACCGCCUUUCCCAAUCCAAGACAGCUCAAGUACUAGUGUUGGCUCGCCUGAUUCCCUCAGCUUUAAAAAACAUGGUGGGAUCUGACAGCUAAAAAGAAAAAGAAAAAGAAAAAGAAAAUAUAUGCAGACGAGAAGUAAUGAAGAAGCCCCCACUUGAUUUAGUUAUGCAAAGGCAAUGUUCUUGUUACAUUCUAAAUUGUACAAGCUUGUUUGAUUAGAAACUAAUGGUAUGAGCCAACAUCCAACAUCAUCACGAUGAAGCAGUAACAUUACUUAAAUUACCAGAUUACAACAUGCACAUCAAUCUUUGACUUGUGUUUCCAAUACCUUUACGCCAGCUCUUUUUCAUGACGGACUUUCAACAGUAAUAAGCUUCAGAUUCUAGUUUGCUGGCCAUAAAGAUCUUAUCCAUAUAGCCUUCAUGCUGUCCAGCUUGUGAUAGCUUAUGAACCGUAGAGAGAUCUUGUAGCUUCUCACUUGUUGAUCCAUUUGCAUAUCAGUCAAUGACAUAAUUUGGCGCCACGGCUAAUAUCCUGUCAUCUCUAGAUGGGCGCCCUUCACCUUCCGCUGCUGCUUGUCUACCAUCAUCCACCACUAUCAGAUGACCUUCCCUCCUAAUCAAACUCUGCAUUGCAAGUAUUUGAUUAUUUAAAAUAAUUAACAAAACAAUAUUAAGUUGAAAUAUGACAUUUGGAGCUUCGUUUAUCAGAAUUAAGAUGAGUACUAUCGUACCUCAAUAAUAGCUUUGAGUUUGGAAACUUCCUUUUUCACUUCCUCCAUAGAACUGUAGGUGUUUUUCUCAUUCUGUUGUUCCACAUACCAUUUUAUCAAAUCCUUCUGCCUCAUUCCAGCAAGUCCAGUCCCUGCAAGUGGCAAAAAGCUCAGAAAUUGCUUAAGAAAAAUGACUAUUAAUGGAUCAUGCAUGGUGGGAACAAGUCCUGGUGGUUAAUCAUGAAGCAGGGCUUCAGAUUCACCAGCUAGUGUCGACCAUCCAAGUGUGGUAAAAACUCAUAUUUGGAAGAAGAUUAACGGUUGUGCUAAAUUCUCUAUCUCCAAAGACCUUAUGUUUGAUAUAUUCAAACCAUUCACUUAUGAACAUGAAAGACCGAUGGUUCAGGAAGUUACCUUCUUGUAUUACAGAUUCUUCAUGCUGUCUAAGGCGCAUUACCAGGGCUUGGGUUACCCUCUGGAAAUAUUCAUCGCUUAUAACAAGUGUUUUCCCUUGUCGGUUCGCAGAACUGGCUCCAUUUCCUGGACAAUAAAAAGGCGAGGUUUUCCUUAAUUAAAAAUGGUCAUAUAAAAUAAAAUCGAAGGAAUUUAGGUGAUUGAAUCGCACCAGCUAUUCCAGAAGCCGGUUCAGGAGUCCUGUUCCUUGGUUGAGCAUCACCUUGAUCAUUGCCAUCAUUUCCAUCAUCACCGCCAUCACCAUCAUCACGAUUAUCUUCUUGAAACUCAGACAGAUCAAUCUCACUGGACUCCACACUGCAUGAAGAGACAAAUUACACAUCUUCACCAGUCAUUUAGAAGAGAGGAUAUUUGGCAUAAUUUCACUGGUACCGUACCUGAUUACAGAUGUUUUUAGCAGUCUUACUGCUACACGAACAUGACGCGGAUGUACCUGGAAGGAUAAUUUCAUGAAUAUAUGAUGACAAUGCAUAACAAUGAAAUAUGCAUAACAUAUUUCAUGAAUAUAUGUACCUGAGUUUCCAAAUGACUCCGAGCAAUGGCCUCAGACAACCUGAUCAAUGCUUCCAGCUGCCUAACUGUCAUACGAUAUGCAACUCUGCUCCCAGGAGUUGUAUCUCCCCUUCGGAGAGCAACAUAAGAGUCAACCAACAGUUUCCUGGCUUCCAAGCUUAGCUGAAUUAUAGAAUCGAUGUUAAAAAUAGGCAGUGCAAUAACAUAAAAUCUCAUUUUCAAGUCAAAAACCACAUCAUGAUCAUAGAAAGAUUAAACAGCCAACCUUUGGUUUUAAAGUUUUAGCAUAUGCAAUGUAACGCUUCAGCUGUGCAGUUGUGAAUGCUGGAGCUAGAGCAUCUUCAUGCUUCUGAUGCACUCUCACAAUGUGGUGAGCAAUAUGGUAAUCAGUUUGAUCAUCUGGAUCAUCGAUCAUUACAUAUACCAGAUCAAACCUGGAAAGAAUAGCAGGAGGCAGCGCAACAUUGUACUGGGGAAGAAAGAUAAAUCCAAAGUGAUCAGUUCACAAUGAGGACAUGAAAAAUUAUAGCACAAAUGCCUAGGAAAUCAGUUACAAUGGUACCAUAUUCCAAAGAUUCUCACCUUCAGUGGUUUCGACUUAUCAUAGCGCCCCCCUGCAGGAUUAGCAGCAGCUAGAAUUGAUGUUCGGGCAUUCAGUGUUGCUUGUAUACCUGCUUUUGUAAUGCUUAUUGUCUGCUGUUCCAUGGCUUCAUGAAUUGCAACCUUCAUAAGCAGUUGGAAAUCAAGUAUCAGCAUUGCAUGGCAAAUAAGAUCCUCCAAAUAGAACAGUAUAAAAAUUACCUGAUCCCUGAUGUCCAUCUUGUCAAAUUCAUCAAUGCAACAAAUACCAUUGUCAGCAAGCAUCAGUGCACCUGCCUGGAAAUAAACAACACACGUUUGUCACUGAACCUGAACAAGCAGAAAUUGUAUACUCAGAGGUACGUGGUUAAUAAGGAACUUAAAAGAAUAUGAUGGGAAAACACACAUCAGAAGAUUAGGGCUAAUCAGAAGUCAAUUAUUUCCGGUCUCCAAGGACAUAUCAUAACUCAACCUAACAAAAAGCAAUAGAACUGAAUGCUACCUCGAUACAGAAUUCCCCAGUUUCUGGUUCUUUGGCAACACUUGCAGUCAAGCCCGCCGCAGAGGAGGACUUGCCAGAUGUGUAGACAGAUCUAGGAACAAUACCAGCAGCAUAUCUGCAAGUGCAUUGACCAUCUAUUUAAGUUUUUCAAGCAGUAUAAACACCAGGAAUUGCUGUAUUAGAAACCAAAAACCCAAGGAACAAAUAAAAUGACAUACUUAAGGAACUGAGAUUUGGCACAGCUGGGAUCUCCAACUAUACAAACAUUAAUAUCUCCUCUCAGGUUGAUGCCUUCAUGAGUAAGCUUGUGAACACCACCCAAGAGCAUGAGCAGGAUUGCUCGCUUUAUAUCUUGAUGACCAAAAACAGUUGGGCCAAUGCUAUCAACUAUCUUAUUGAAGAAAUCAGGGGCAUUUCUCAUUCUUUGGAUUUCGUCUAUCUCUUCUGUCUGUCAGUUGAAAAUAAGUGAGUAGAGUUCUAGAAUUUGAUAUAGUUUCUAGGUUCACAAUAAAAAUCAAAAUUCAAUAUUGAGAAUCCUGAAAUCAUUAACACCAUCUGUGGUACACAUUCCGAACUCAUUAGUAACUUCCUAUCUGCAAAUUAUAUCUUUACUUUAAGCAGUUCCAAAAUUUAGUUAUGUAAAUCAAAUUCCCUCCAGACUUGGUUGAAUGGAAUUGUUAGAAGGAAAUAAUGUUAAAUAAGCCCAAAGUAAAGAAAUUGACAAUUUUUUUUUUCAGUAAAGUACAGAAAGACAUUAUAAAUAGAGAUUUGAAGUAGCAUGAAGUAGCUGUGAUUGAUAAUCAAACAAAUCUCUAGAAAAUGGGACUAUACUAAAGAAACUAGAAAUACUGCAUGUUGAACCCACCGUGAACUGAUGUUGGUCCUCUUCAUCGGCAUCCUUCUUCCUAUUUCUUAUGUCGGUAUCUCUUCUACCAUCAGCAAUCUAAAGAAACAAGCAAGCAUGAAACAUGAACUGCGUGAACAAACUCGUCACAUAAUCCAACUUGAAUUAUAAGCCACUGUAUCACCAACCUGAACUGAAUUGGCAAUGAAGGCAAGCCGGUAGGAAAGGUCUCUCACUCCCAAUGCUCGAAGACCUCUCACACCAUCAUGUCCAACGGCAGAGGACUUGCGUUGAGAAGCUUCUCGGCGACAUUCUGCUCUCUCCCCAGGAGAGCCCAUUGCCAAUAUGUCAGGUAUGACAACCACAGUACCAGUGAAAAUGACCCUGUUGGUGAAUAAAGAUUGGAGAUAUUAAUGACUUGCAAAUAUCUUAUGAUAUUUUCUAAGCGAGAACAAGUAACUAACAUUAACAUCUAUAGGAAAAAGAAAAUGAUACAUAUUGACUUAAUGGGGAUCUUACGUGUCUCCAGCUCUGGCUUGUUCGACAAUAUCAUGGCGGAGAAUAACAUCCAAUGACCUGGGCAAGGAUCCAGCUGGAAUCUCUUUGGAAGUCUCCUGCAUUCUCACCCUCUGCCAGUCAGCAAACUUGCUAUCUUGGCGUAGCAAUGCCCAAUUUGUCCUAUUGGAACAUGUUGCAUUCGCACAAAUUGUGGGCUGAAACCAAAGAAAUGCAACAACACAUCGAUUAUUGCCAGGCAGUUAAAAUUCACCCACAUAAACAUGUAAAAAUACUCAAGCAGGUUAACCUCAGUAUAUUUGAAUUGCUGCUCAACAUUCUUGAUGACUCCCCCACAUUCCAAGCACUUAAAGGUCCCUUGAAGUAGCUCAGGUCGAACUUCACUUGUUCGAGUCACCACUCCUGUAACUGACACCAGUCUCCCAAUUUCUGCCGUGGUCAACUCUCUCAAUCUGUGCUCAAGCAUUAUACACACAUACAAACAAUUCAUAACUAAUGCAAUUUUUCAUAAUCAUCAGAUAUUUAGUGUGUAAAUUUGAUUACCAAUGCCUGAAUUAAGAACAAUUGAAACGAUUAAAUAAUGAGCAUUAAAAAUUACCUCUUAGAGAAAGGGAUGUUGAAGAAAGCAACAUUGAUAUCCUUGUUAGGAUUAUCAUCAGAAAUGAAAUUGGGGUUUUGCUCCAUCACAAAUCUCUUGCAAGCAUUCUUCAAAUACGGUUCAAAUCUUAAAUACUCAUCGGCAAUGGCUUUUUGAAGAAGGUCAUUGUAUCGCAUAACGUGAGAGAAAUCGAUGAACAUGGUGUUGGAUUCGUUGGCUCUCAUGGCCUCGAUCUCGGCCUCGUAACACGACUCUCCGCCCAUGUUUCCAUCUAAUCUAAAACUGCCCAGAUCAUCGUUUGGAGCGAAAAUCAACACCCAUUUAACAAAAACUACAAUUUUAAAUGAAAAAAAUGGUUAGGGAUUUAGGGAAGCCUACCUCUUUAGAAAUUCCAAGAAAAUAUUUUCAACUCUCACUGCUUUUUCGUCAACCAAGAUUCCACCAAACGCCUCCAUUUUUUCUUUGUUGUACGAUGUUUCGGAAGCUGCAGUCGUCACGCGAUUUGGAACCCUAAUUUCCAACUGUAAACACUUCGUCUUGUUUGUGCUUGUCGGUCUCUCCGUGGCGGGAAAAUCGUCAAUGCUUUCCCGCCAAGACAAAAAAAAAAAGAAAAAGGAACCGUUAGGGCCUUUUGGGUUACGGGUAAUGGGCUUGAUCGUCAUUUGCUUCGCAAGUUUCAGUUUUGCAAUUUUAUUUUUAAAGUUUUUUUUAGGCAAAAAUAUUAAAAAAAUAAUAAUAAAUGUUUUAAUUAAAAAAAUUAACCUAAUUUCACAUUUUCAACCUAAUAUUAUGCCAUUUAAGAUUAGUUUCAAUGACGGACUCUCUUGCGUAAUCACAUAAUUUCCCCUCAUCGCAUGUUGAGCUUUUAGGUAUCCAAAAAUCAAUAUAGAUUUGGGCUUUUCUUCGAUGGUGUCAUAAAAAAUAAUAAUAAUAAUAACAACUUUUUUUAAAAAGUAUGUAAAUAUUGAAAACUAAGUUCUCUUUUU